rnacentral:tRNA from 1 species
GGCAAGGUGGCCGAGCGGUCCAAGGCGCCACGUUAAGGUUUAUCCCUUAAUCUCCAUCCUUCUCAGGAUUCCGUGGUCUCGAAAGGGGCGUGAGUUCGAAUCUCACCCUUGUCA